AGAGCGAACGCUGGCGGCAGGCCUAACACAUGCAAGUCGAGCGCCCGUAGCAAUACGGGAGCGGCAGACGGGAUAGUAACACGUGGGAACGCGCCCUUCGGUUCGGAAUAACUCAGGGAAACUUGAGCUAAUACCGAAUACGCCCUUACGGGGAAAGAUUUAUUGCCGAAGGAACGGCCCGCGUCCGAUUAGCUAGUUGGUGAGGUAAUGGCUCACCAAGGCUACGAUCGGUAGCUGGUCUGAGAGGAUGACCAGCAUCACUGGGACUGAGACACGGCCCAGACUCCUACGGGAGGCAGCAGUGGGGAAUAUUGGACAAUGGGCGCAAGCCUGAUCCAGCCAUGCCGCGUGGAUGAUGAAGGCCUUAGGGUUGUAAAGUCCUUUAACGGGGAAGAUAAUGACGGUACCCGUAGAAUAAGCCCCGGCUAACUUCGCGCCAGCAGCCGC
rnacentral:rRNA from 1 species